UACGUAGGGUGCGAGCGUUAAUCGGAAUUACUGGGCGUAAAGCGUGCGCAGGCGGCGCGUUAAGACAGGUGUGAAAGCCCCGAGCUUAACUUGGGAAUUGCGCUUGUGACUGGCGUGCUGGAGUGUGGCAGAGGGAGGUGGAAUUCCACGUGUAGCAGUGAAAUGCGUAGAGAUGUGGAGGAACACCGAUGGCGAAGGCAGCCUCCUGGGCCAGUACUGACGCUCAUGCACGAAAGCGUGGGGAGCAAACAGG
rnacentral:rRNA from 1 species